UGUGUGUUGGAGGAUGAAAACAGGAGUGAUCCAUCGGCUAAGUGUCUUACCACAAUGCUGAAAUUCAAAUUACUGACAACACACA
ensembl:snoRNA SNORD71 small nucleolar RNA, C/D box 71